AUUGAACGCUGGCGGCAGGCCUAACACAUGCAAGUCGAACGGUAACAGGAAACAGCUUGCUGUUUCGCUGACGAGUGGCGGACGGGUGAGUAAUGUCUGGGAAACUGCCUGAUGGAGGGGGAUAACUACUGGAAACGGUAGCUAAUACCGCAUAACGUCGCAAGACCAAAGAGGGGGACCUUCGGGCCUCUUGCCAUCAGAUGUGCCCAGAUGGGAUUAGCUAGUAGGUGGGGUAACGGCUCACCUAGGCGACGAUCCCUAGCUGGUCUGAGAGGAUGACCCGCCCCCCGGGAACUGGGACCGGGUCCAGCCCCCUACGGGGGGCAGCAGUGGGAAAUUUUGCCCAAGGGGCGCAACCCUGAGGCAGCCAUGCCGGGGGUAUGAAGAAGGCCUUCGGGUUUUAAAGUAUUUUCCGGGGGGGGGAAGGGAGUAAAUUUAAAACCUUUGCUCAUUGACUUUCCCCGCAGAAGAAGCCCCGGCUACCUCCGU
rnacentral:rRNA from 1 species